AAGCAAGGUACUGAAAAUACCUAGACGAGUAUAUCCAACUCCAUAAACA
rnacentral:tRNA from 1 species